CUCUGCCUCAAAAAAAUAAAAUAGGGAGAUCUGAGUGUGUUACCAACACCACCACACACUACCAAACAGUUUUCCAAAGUGGGUACACCAAUGUAAACUCCCAUUAGAGCUGUAUGAAUUUCUGUUACACCACAUCCUCCUAAUCUUUGGCAUUGUUAGUGCUUUCAGCUUUAGGAUUUUUGGUGACUCUGUAGAGGGAUCUAUUAGUGGGUAUUUUGUUUUUCGUUUUUGUUUUUGGGGUUUGGGGGUCUUUUUUUUUAACAAAAUAUGUUCCAAUUUAAAACAGUUCAUUUCAGGAGAAAGAUAUGAAAAGUCAACUUCCAUCGGUGUCUGGAUUAAGGGUCAAGGCCAGUGGCCAUGGGAAUUGACAAUGAGUCACUCCUCAGCCCCUCCCAUCCCCCAACAUGCACGACACAUGCAUUUCAAAUGGUAAAAGGUGUAAAAACAGCAUGGUAUAGAAUAUUCUUUCUUAAAUAAGGUUGAAAUUGUCUGAAAUCAGGACAGUGUAAUAUAUAACUAUCACUGGAUCCUGUCUGCCAGGCCAGCCGCAGGAUCUGCUGCCACCACUGGGGGACAUUGGCACAGGAAUGCUCUUCUAUGGGAGCCGGGGGGACCCAGGGUGUGGCUCUUGCGAUGGCCAGGGGCUGCUGCUGCCUGGGCAUGACAUGGUCAGAGAAGGUGGUCGGCGGUAACGAGAAAGCAUUGGCAGGUGAGAUUCACCAAGGUAAAAACACACACCCCACACGUGGCCCCACACAUGAUAAGGAUGGGGGUCAGCUG
rnacentral:lncRNA from 1 species